rnacentral:rRNA from 1 species
GUAGCUGGUCUGAGAGGAUGRCCAGCCACACUGGAACUGAGACACGGUCCAGACUCCUACGGGAGGCAGCAGUGGGGAAUAUUGGACAAUGGGGGCAACCCUGAUCCAGCAAUGCCGCGUGUGUGAAGAAGGCCUGAGGGUUGUAAAGCACUUUCAGUGGGGAGGAGGAUUGAUAGGUUAAGAGCUAAUUAAUUGGACGUUACCCACAGAAGAAGCACCGGCUAACUCCGUGCCAGCAGCCGCGGUAAUACGGAGGGUGCGAGCGUUAAUCGGAAUGACUGGGCGUAAAGGGUUCGUAGGUGGUUUAUUAAGUUAUCUGUGAAAUCCCUGGGCUUAACCUGGGCAGGUCAGAUGAGACUGAUAGACUCGAGUAUGG